GACGAACCGUGCGAACGUUGUUCGGAUUCACUGGGCUUAAAGGGCGCGUAGGCGGGCGGUCAAGUCAAGGGUGAAAUCUUUCAGCUCGACUGGAAAAGUGCCUUUGAUACUGAUCGUCUUGAGGGAGGUAGGGGCAUGUGGAACUUCCGGUGGAGCGGUGAAAUGCGUAGAUAUCGGAAGGAACGCCGGUGGCGAAAGCGACGUGCUGGACCUCUUCUGACGCUGAGGCGCGAAAGCCAGGGGAGCAAACGGG
rnacentral:rRNA from 1 species